UCCUCCCCUCAUUUCAAACACCCAGGCCAGUGAAAGGCUCUCAAAUCUGCCCUGCUCAGAGCAAUGUCCCCAAAUUUUCGGUGGGAAAAGCAGAGUCCAGCCAAGUUACCUGUACAGAGGGAUGGGAACAAGCAGCAGUGAUGAGGAGCAGUUUUCCAACUUUUCACCUCAAGAAAAGCCUUUAUGAAACGUCCCUCAAAGCCAGGAGAAGCUGGAAGGGCAGACAAAUUCUGGCAGUUGAACCCGACUACACUUGGGAUUGGAAACUGAAGAGGAGCUGCUGAAAUCACAGUUCCUGCCUGGAAAUUAAAAACUGAGAGAAGAAAGACACUGCCCUUAAAUAUUCUCCAACCAAACCUUCAAUAAAAUAAAUAAAGCAAAAAAAAAAGGGGAAAGGGGAAAAGGGGGGAAAGGAAACGGAAAAGGAAAAAAAUCAACUGAAGGAAAAAAGAAAAUAAAAUUUUAAAAAAACCAAAACAAACAGAAAAACCAAACCAACAAACAAAACCACCAAACAACAAAAGCCCAAAACCCCAAAUCCUUCACUUUGGGUUUUCCUCCAGCCCCUCUGGGGUUCAGGCAGGCUGUGUCCCACUGGAGCUGCCCCAGGGGUGCAACCAGUUUA